rnacentral:rRNA from 1 species
UACAGAGGCCUCGAGCGUUAGGCGGAAUCACUGGGCUUAAAGCGUGUGUAGGUGGAGUUCUAAGUACCUUGUGAAAUCCUACGGCUCAACCGUGGAACUGCUGGGUAUACUGGUUCUCUUGAGGUACCUAGGGGCGAGCGGAACAAGUGGUGGAGCGGUGAAAUGCGUAGAUAUCACUUGGAACGCCAACGGUGAAAACAGCUCGCUGGGGGUAUCCUGACACUGAGACACGAAAGCCAGGGGAGCAAACGGG